rnacentral:rRNA from 1 species
UACGAAGGGAGCUAGCGUUGUUCGGAAUCACUGGGCGUAAAGCGCACGUAGGCGGAUUUGUCAGUCAGGGGUGAAAGUCCCGGGGCUCAACCUCGGAACUGCCUCUGAUACAGCAAGUCUUGAGUCCGAUAGAGGUGGGUGGAAUUCCUAGUGUAGAGGUGAAAUUCGUAGAUAUUAGGAAGAACACCGGUGGCGAAGGCGGCCCACUGGAUCGGUACUGACGCUGAGGUGCGAAAGCGUGGGGAGCAAACAG